rnacentral:rRNA from 1 species
AGUGGCAAACGGGUGAGUAAUGGGUUGGUAUCUGACCCGAAGCGUGGAAUAUCUUGGAGAAAUCCAAGCUAAUUCCGCAUGUGCCUGCAAAGGUAAAGGUUCCUUUCUGGAAUCGCUUCGGGAGGAGCCUGCCUCCUAUCAGCUUGUUGGUGAGGUAAUGGCUCACCAAGGCGAUGACGGGUAGCUGGUCCGAGAGGACGACCAGCCACAUCGGGACUGAGACACUGCCCGGACUCCUACGGGAGGCUGCAGUCAAGAAUCUUCCGCAAUGGGCGAAAGCCUGACGGAGCGACGCCGCGUGACCGAAGAAGCCCUUCGGGGUGUAAAGGUCUUUUCUAGGGGAAGAAGUCCUGCUUGGCGGGAUUGACGGUACCCCAGGAAUAAGAGGUUGCUAACUACGUGCCAGCAGCCGCGGUAAAACGUAGACCUCAAGCGUUAUCCGGAAUCAUUGGGCGUAAAGCGUCUGUAGGUGGUUUUCUAAGUUAGAUGUUAAAUCUAAAAGCUCAACUUUUAGGCUGUAUCUAAAACUGGAAAACUAGAGGAAAAGAGAGGUAAAUGGAACUUGUGGUGUAGUAGUGAAAUGCGUUAAUAUCACAGGGAACACCAAUAGCGAAGGCAGUUUACUAGCUUUUUCCUGACACUGAGAGACGAAAGCGUGGGGAGCAAAACGGAUUAGAUACCCGUGUAGUCCACGCUGUAAACGAUGGGUACUAGAUGCAGGAAGAGUCGACCCUUUCUGUUUCGAAGCUAACGCGUUAAGUACCCCGCCUAGGAAGUACGGCCGCAAGGCUAAAACUUAAAGGAAUAGACGGGGACCCGCACAAGCGGUGGAGCAUGUGGUUUAAUUCGACGAUAAGCGAAGAACCUUACCAGGGUUCGACUUCCAGGAAUUCUGCCGAAAGGCAGAAGUGCCUUUUUGGAGCCUGGAAUCAGGUGCUGCAUGGCUGCCGUCAGCUCGUGCCGUGAGGUGUUCCGUUAAGUCGGGUAACGAGCGCAACCCUUGUGCUAUAUUUGAUAUAAUAUAGCAGACUGCCGGCAUAUAGUCGGAGGAAGGUGGGGAUGACGUCAAGUCAGCAUGGCCCUUUGAUACCCUGGGCGACACACGUGCUACAAUGGCUCAGACAAAAGGUAGCCAAGCCGUAAGGCGGAGCUAAUCCUAAAAAAUGAGUCUCAGUUCGGAUUGAGGUCUGCAACUCGACCUCAUGAAGCUGGAAUCGCUAGUAACCGUGGGUCAGCACACCACGGUGAAUACGUGCUCGGGUCUUGUACUCACCGCCCGUCAAGUCAAGCGAGUUGGUAACACCUGAAA